rnacentral:rRNA from 1 species
UGGGGAAUAUUGCGCAAUGGCCGAAAGGCUGACGCAGCGACGCCGCGUGGGGGAUGAAGCAUUUCGGUGUGUAAACCCCUGUUGCUCGGGACGAACAACUUCUUUCGAGAAGUCUGACGGUACCGGGUGAGGAAGCACCGGCUAACUCCGUGCCAGCAGCCGCGGUAAUACGGAGAGUGCGAGCGUUGUCCGGAAUCACUGGGCGUAAAGGGCGCGUAGGCGGUCUGUUAAGCGUGCGGUGAAAGCCUGGGGCUCAACCCCAGGUCUGCCGUGCGAACUGGCGGACUAGAGCACUGUAGAGGCAGGUGGAAUUCCGGGUGUAGCGGUGGAAUGCGUAGAGAUCCGGAAGAACACCGGUGGCGAAGGCGGCCUGCUGGGCAGUUGCUGACGCUGAGGCGCGACAGCGUGGGGAGCAAACAG